rnacentral:lncRNA from 1 species
GAACAUUAUGGUUUAAAAUUCACUAAUUAUAAUUAACCUUGCUAAUUUAGCAAUUAGGGUUUACAAUUUUGAUAAUUAGGAUUACCAAAUUACAAUUAGGAUUUCCAAUUACUAAAUUAGGGUUCUAGAUAUUAGGGUUUUAAGUUACUAAUUAGGUUUUCCACAUAAUUAGCAAUAAACUCUAUCAUACAUGAUAUUAACCACAUUAACACAAUUUCUG